rnacentral:misc_RNA from 1 species
UCCGGUUUGUCACCGGCAGUCCCAUUAGAGUGCCCAACUGAAUGUAGCAACUAAUGGCAAGGGUUGCGCUCGUUGCGGGACUUAACCCAACAUCUCACGACACGAGCUGACGACAGCCAUGCAGCACCUGUCUCUCCGUCCCCGAAGGGAAAACCGACUUUCAUCGGCUGUCGAAGGAUGUCAAGACCAGGAUAAGGUUCUUCGCGUUGCGUCGAAUUGAACCACAUGCUCCACUGCUUGUGCGGGUCCCCGUCAAUUUCUUUGAGUUUUAAUCUUGCGACCGUACUCCCCAGGCGGGAUGCUUAACGCGUUAGCUUCGUUACUGGAAGGGUUGACCUAUCCAACAACAAGCAUCCAUCGUUUACGGCGUGGACUAC